CGCGUAGGUGGUUUGUUAAGUCGGAUGUGAAAGCCCCGGGCUCAACCUGGGAACUGCAUCCGAUACUGGCCGACUAGAGUGCGGGAGAGGGAGGUAGAAUUCCACGUGUAGCGGUGAAAUGCGUAGAUAUGUGGAGGAAUACCGGUGGCGAAGGCGGCCUCCUGGCCUGACACUGACGCUGAGGUGCGAAAGCGUGGGGAGCAAACA
rnacentral:rRNA from 1 species